CCUACGGGAGGCAGCAGUGGGGAAUUUUGGACAAUGGGCGCAAGCCUGAUCCAGCAAUGCCGCGUGAGUGAAGAAGGCCUUCGGGUUGUAAAGCUCUUUUGUCAGGGAAGAAACGGUGGUUCCUAAUACGGACUACUAAUGACGGUACCUGAAGAAUAAGCACCGGCUAACUACGUGCCAGCAGCCGCGGUAAUACGUAGGGUGCAAGCGUUAAUCGGAAUUACUGGGCGUAAAGCGUGCGCAGGCGGUUAUAUAAGUCAGAUAUGAAAUCCCCGGGCUCAACCUGGGAACUGCAUUUGAGACUGUAUGGCUAGAGUGUGUCAGAGGGGGGUAGAAUUCCACGUGUAGCAGUGAAAUGCGUAGAUAUGUGGAGGAAUACCGAUGGCGAAGGCAGCCCCCUGGGAUAACACUGACGCUCAUGCACGAAAGCGUGGGGAGCAAACAGGAUUAGAUACCCUGGUAGUCCACGCCCUAAACGAUGUCUACUAGUUGUCGGGACUUAAUUGUCUUGGUAACGCAGCUAACGCGUGAAGUGACCGCCUGGGGAGUACGGGUCGCGAAGAUUAAAACUCAAAUGAAUUGACGG
rnacentral:rRNA from 1 species